AUGGAUUACGAUCCGCUGGCACUGGAUGCCGACGACGAGGAGACAAACUGCCCAGGGAAGAAAUUUCCGGUGGCAGCAGCAACAAAAGUAGACGACAUAUGGAGUUGGAUUUACACCAGACGGAACAUCGCGUACCAGAAGAAGUGUGAGGAGAUUGAAGCAAGUGAAGAUGAGAAUGCCACAUUUCCUUCUUAUCCUCUCAAAAUACUCCCUGAGGCAACAGGUAUAUGUGUCAUGAGGGGCUUUUGCCACCACCGUGAAUAUAAAACCCAUGAUACUUCCACUGCUAGAUCAACUCUUGGGUUACGUGAUCCAAGACUGAUGCUGCAGAUCUUCGCGAUGCAUUUAUCAAUCUCCGAAUCCUAUUCCUACCCCGUUAGCGUCUAUGGAAUUGUUGCUGUUCGGGAUGCCUUGGAGCCACUACGGAAUCUUGUGUUUAACCGUCCCUGCAGAGAUAAUGCUUUUAUGGUUGACCAGGAUUCCUUAACCUUGCCUCUUUGUAGUCCUCGUCGAGGAAUGUAUUUAGUCAGGGACAGAGCAUUACUAGAAGUUGAUCUUUGGGUAAAGGAGGAAGGAGAUGGGUAA
rnacentral:rRNA from 1 species